AGCAGCCGCGGUAAUUCCAGCUCCAAUAGCGUAUAUUAAAGUUGUUGCAGUUAAAAAGCUCGUAGUUGAAUUUCGGGGUUAGCAGGUCGGUCGUGCCAUCGGUAUGAACUGGUCUCGCUGAUCCCUCCCUCUUGACGAACUGUGAUGCCAUUAAUUUGGUGUCGCAGGGAAUCAGGACUGUUACUUUGAAAAAAUUAGAGUGUUUAAAGCAGGCUCACGCUUGAAUACAUUAGCAUGGAAUAAUGAAAUAGGACGUUUGAUCCUAUUUUGUUGGCUUCUAGGAUUGACGUAAUGAUUAAUAGGGAUAGUUGGGGGCAUUAGUAUUCAAUUGUCAGAGGUGAAAUUCUUGGAUUUAUUGAAGACUAACUACUGCGAAAGCAUUUUGCCAAGGAUGUUUUCAUUAAUCAAGAACGAAAGUUAGGGGAUCGAAGACGAUCAGAUACCGUCGUAGUCUUAACCAUAAACUAUGCCGACUAGGGAUCGGAUGAUGUUAAUUUUUUUAAUGACUCAUUCGGCGCCU
rnacentral:misc_RNA from 1 species